rnacentral:rRNA from 1 species
UACAGAGGUCUCAAGCGUUGUUCGGAUUCAUUGGGCGUAAAGGGUGCGUAGGCGGCGCGGUAAGUCGGGUGUGAAAUCUUGGAGCUUAACUCCGAAACUGCAUUCGAUACUGCCGUGCUUGAGGACCGGAGAGGAGACUGGAAUUUACGGUGUAGCGGUGAAAUGCGUAGAUAUCGUAAGGAAGACCAGUGGCGAAGGCGGGUCUCUGGACAGUU